GAACUGGUUGGAUCACCAGCUACCUCCAGGAAAUGAUUCCGAGAGCCAAUCUGCUGCGAAAGACGGCCAUCUAACACCACCAAGGACAAUUUCGGAGCACAAACCAAGUCCGUGGCGUCUAAGUCAUAACUUCAGACACCUCCAUUUGGAUAAUGACAGUCAUGAAUCAGUUACACCAAGGUGCGAAAGACGUCCAUCUAACGCCACCAAGGACAAUUUCGGAGCACAAACCAAGUCCGUGGCGUCUAAGUCAUAACUUCAGACACCUCCAUUUGGAUACUGACAGUCAUGAAUCAGUUACACCAAGGUCAACUAAGUCCGCAGUUCCACUAAGGGGCAAACUAAUGCAUACUCCCAGAAGAACAUCAUCACCAAUGAGCAGCACGAGUGUAUCAAAUUACUCAAG
rnacentral:lncRNA from 1 species